rnacentral:rRNA from 1 species
UGGGGAAUUUUGGGCAAUGGCCGCAAGGCUGACCCAGCGACGCCGCGUGCGGGAGGACGCCUUUCGGGGUGUAAACCGCUGUCAGGGGGGACGAAUCGCCGGGACGGGAAUACCGUGUCGGUUUGACGGUACCCCCAAAGGAAGCGCCGGCUAACUCCGUGCCAGCAGCCGCGGUAAUACGGAGGGCGCAAGCGUUGUUCGGAAUCACUGGGCGUAAAGCGCGCGCAGGCGGGUGUGCAAGUCGGAAGUGAAAUCCCGGGGCUCAACUCCGGGGCUGCUCCCGAUACUGCACGCCUGGAGACCGGUAGAGGUGGGUGGAAUUCCCGGUGUAGCGGUGGAAUGCGUAGAGAUCGGGAAGAACACCUGUGGCGAAGGCGGCCCACUGGGCCGGUUCUGACGCUGAGGCGCGAAAGCGUGGGGAGCAAACAGG